rnacentral:rRNA from 1 species
CACGGUGGAUGCCCUGGCAGUCAGAGGCGAUGAAGGACGUGCUAAUCUGCGAAAAGCGUCGGUAAGGUGAUAUGAACCGUUACAGCCGGCGAUGUCCGAAUGGGGAAACCCAGUGCAAUUCGUUGCACUAUCGUUAACUGAAUACAUAGGUUAACGAGGCGAACCGGGGGAACUGAAACAUCUAAGUACCCCGAGGAAAAGAAAUCAACCGAGAUUCCCCCAGUAGCGGCGAGCGAACGGGGAGCAGCCCAGAGUCUGAAUCAGCUUGUGUGUUAGUGGAACGGUCUGGAAAGUCCGACGGUACAGGGUGAUAGUCCCGUACACCAAAAUGCACAGGCUGUGAACUCGAAGAGUAGGGCGGGACACGUGGUAUCCC